UACGUAGGGUGCGAGCGUUGUCCGGAAUUAUUGGGCGUAAAGGGCUCGUAGGCGGUCUGUCGCGUCGGGAGUGAAAACUCAGGGCUUAACCCUGAGCCUGCUUCCGAUACGGGCAGACUAGAGGUAUGCAGGGGAGAACGGAAUUCCUGGUGUAGCGGUGGAAAUGCGCAGAUAUCAGGAGGAACACCGGUGCGAAGGCGGCAUCCUGGACCGGUAUUGACGCUGAGGCGCGAAAGCCAGGGGAGCAAACGGG
rnacentral:rRNA from 1 species